rnacentral:rRNA from 1 species
UACGUAGGGUGCGAGCGUUGUCCGGAAUUACUGGGCGUAAAGAGCUCGUAGGCGGUUUGUCGCGUCGUCUGUGAAAUUCUGCAACUCAAUUGUAGGCGUGCAGGCGAUACGGGCAGACUUGAGUACUACAGGGGAGACUGGAAUUCCUGGUGUAGCGGUGGAAAUGCGCAGAUAUCAGGAGGAACACCGGUGGCGAAGGCGGGUCUCUGGGCCGAUGACUGACGCUGAGGAGCGAAAGCGUGGGGAGCAAACAGG